rnacentral:misc_RNA from 1 species
GAUGAAGAACGUAGCGAAAUGCGAUACGUAAUGUGAAUUGCAGAAUUCAGUGAAUCAUCGAGUCUUUGAACGCACAUUGCGCCCCCUGGUAUUCCGGGGGGCAUGCCUGUCCGAGCGUCAUUGCUGCCCUCAAGCACGGCUUGUGUGUUGGGCCUCCGCCCCCCGGCUCCCGGGGGGCGGGCCCGAAAGGCAGCGGCGGCACCGCGUCCGGUCCUCGAGCGUAUGGGGCUUCGUCACCCGCUCCGUAGGCCCGGCCGGCGCCCGCCGGCGACCCCCCUCAAUCUUUCCAGGUUGAUCUCGGAUCAGGUAGGGAUACCCGCUGAACUUAAGCAUAUCAAUGAGCGGAGGA